GACGAACGCUGGCGGCGUGCUUAACACAUGCAAGUGGAGCGACGAACCAGGGCUUGCCCUGAGGCAGAGCCGCGAACGGGUGAGUAACACGUGGGUAACCUGCCUCGAUGAUCGGGACAACCCGGGGAAACCCGGGCUAAUACCGAAUGUGCUGCCGAGUCACCAGACUCGGUUGGAAAGGAAGCUUCGGCCUCCGCAUCGAGAUGGGCCCGCGGCCCAUUAGCUUGUUGGUGAGGUAAUGGCUCACCAAGGCUUCGAUGGGUAGCUGGUCUGAGAGGACGAUCAGCCACACUGGGACUGAGACACGGCCCAGACUCCUACGGGAGGCAGCAGUGGGGAAUCUUGCGCAAUGCGCGAAAGCGUGACGCAGCAACGCCGCGUGAGGGAAGACGGCCUUCGGGUUGUAAACCUCUUUCAGUUGGGACGAAGCUCUCGCCGUUAAUAGCGGUGUGGAGUGACGGUACCUUCAGAAGAAGCCCCGGCUAACUACGUGCCAGCCGCCGCCGUAACAC
rnacentral:rRNA from 1 species